GGUGCUGUGGCGCAGUGGUUAGAGUCUUGGAUUGCGAAGCAUGAAGUCCGGGUUCAAGUUCCCGCUCGAUCG